GGAGCGGGUUGAGCCGCGUCGCAGCUCUGCUGCCCCCACUGUGCCACCACCAGCACCGCUGUGGCUGUCGCUGUUAGCCAGACCCUAAGAGGCCUUGACCCAGGGAGUUUCGGGACUAGGGACCCAGAAUGGAGGAGAAAACCAAGAAGGCUUUCGGAAAUUCAUGAGCUAAAAAUGUCAGGAAUUUCCUGGGAAACGCACUUCCUUACGGGAUUCAUUAAAGCAGGUUCGCUUGCUUGCCCCUUUUACUCUUUCUCCCAGAAACGUGUUGAGGAGAGACCCCUCACCCAAUAAAACAUUAAAUGGUCGCUGGUUUUUACACAGACAGCUAGGCUACCAACCAUUAAUUAGCCAAUGAAUGUUUGGAGGGUGACAGCUAAACAGGAUCCUCUCGUAAUGGAAAGGAGUUGGGGGGGGGACUCAGAAAUCAUUGGUUUCUUUCUUCCUAGACCUCAUGCAUAAUAUAGGGCCUAUUUUACAACUUCCAGGUAGGUAAUAAGUGCUUACACUGCCUCUUGCAGUGUACAGCCCUGGCAGCUGUGGGAAGGCUAAGGCCUAUCUCCAGGGGACCCCUGCCAAUUCCCCUAUAUUCCCCCACCACCUUCGGCUAGGGGCUAAGAGGAUUAUGCAGAUUUACCCCUGGCUUUCUGAUGCAUAGAUUGCUGACUUCAUCCUGAAAGUGUACCUAUUCUAUCUGUAGGUUCCACUCCCAUUGAACAUCUCUACCUUUUCCCCCAAAGUAAGACUUGCCUCCCCUACUCUUAGCUUCAGAAAAAAUGAUUACAUGGUUACCCCAAAGGAGGGAGAGGGAUGCUGAUCAAGAAACCAAGAACAGUUUAGGGCAUAAACCUUGUUAAUACCUGAGCCCUCAAAGCCCCUAAAAUAUCUGUUCACUUCUUGGGGAAACCUGUUAGGUAUUUGGGGCUUCUUUUUUUUUUUUUUUUCCCUCAUAGCAAGAGCCUCAUUCUACUCAGCAUCAGCUAUUUCAGCUCUAGGCUAAAGCUAUUUCCCACUAAAGAACCUUGACUACCAAAGAGCGAACUGGGUUAGUCCUGUGAACCAGCCUCAGAACCAUCCCCUAUCUCCAGUAGUCUCUGAAAUGGUUCCCCUAAAGGGCAGGCUCAUCCAGAGAAAAACCCAGGGGUUGGGCCUCAAAAAAA
rnacentral:lncRNA from 1 species